GGGGGUAGCAAUACCCUAGUAAAGCGGCGCACGGGUGAGUAACACGUGGAUAACCUGCCUCGAAGUGGGGAAUAACCCCGGGAAACCGGAGCUGAUACCGCAUAAUCUGACGAGAUCUGUGGAUUUUGUCAGCAAAGGAGCAAUUCGCUUUGAGAGGGGUCCGCGGCUGAUUAGCUAGUUGGUGAGGUAAUGGCUCACCAAGGCCACGAUCAGUAGCCGGUCUGAGAGGACGGUCGGCCACACUGGAACUGAGACACGGUCCAGACUCCUACGGGAGGCAGCAGUGGGGAAUUUUUCGCAAUGGGGGCAACCCUGACGAAGCAACGCCGCGUGGGUGAUGAAGUAUUUCGGUACGUAAAACCCUUUCGACGGGGACGAAGCCGCAAGGUUGACGGUACCCGUAGAAGAAGCCCCGGCUAACUCCGUGCCAGCAGCCGCGGUAAUACGGGGGGGGCAAGCGUUGUUCGGAAUUACUGGGCGUAAAGGGCGCGUAGGCGGUUUGCUAAGUUGGAUGUGAAAACUCUGGGCUUAACCCAGAGCCUGCAUCCAAAACUGGCAAACUUGAGUACUGGAGGGGAAAGCGGAAUUCCUGGUGUAGCGGUGAAAUGCGUAGAUAUCAGGAGGAACACCGGUGGCGAAGGCGGCUUUCUGGACAGUAACUGACGCUGAGGCGCGAAAGCUAGGGGAGCAAACAGGAUUAGAUACCCUGGUAGUCCUAGCCCUAAACGAUGGAUACUUGGUGUGAGGGGGAUUGAAUCCCUUCGUGCCGUAGCUAACGCAAUAAGUAUCCCGCCUGGGGAGUACGGUCGCAAGGCUGAAACUC
rnacentral:rRNA from 1 species